GUUUCUUUUGCAGAAAUGGGACUCCUAGCUAUGGCAAUAGAAGUCAUUUAACCCAACUCUGUAGCCCUGGACCCUCAAUCAACUGGAGAGGGUUGAGUCAACCCAAGCAGGCCGACUGACUGCUGCUUUUUACAGAGAUGCAGAGGAAAUGUGACAGAAAUCCCUUCUCCAUUUAGGAGCUCAGCUUUGGUUCUUUUCUUCAGUUUUGGCUCUAGUUUCUUACAGAAGUGGCACUAAAAAGCUCACCUGUUCUCUAGUGCUUUGCCAGGGGAGAACUUAUGACCCUACUGUUCUGCUCUGUUCUCAGAAGAACAGAAGCAUCCCCUUCCUUCCCUACGCUCAAAACUUGGCAAGAGGGCCCUCUCUAGCCAUAACACAGGGCAAGUGGACACUGCCCAGAAGACGCUCCCAGUCGGAGCAAGAGGUCUACAAACAAUUCCCCUCAUAACCUAUAUCAGCCUUUCGAAGCCUCAGAUCUGGCCAUGUCUUUUCUAGUCUCAUGCUUCUCUUAAUAAAACAAAAUGAAAAGUACAGAGUACCAUGUAACUCAGAGGCUAAUUGUUACUAGCUUUCACCUCUAGAAGACUAUGAAUUUGUCUUACUCAACAAUGUUUAUUAGGCUCUGGGCUUCUUCUUACCCUAGGGAUUCAUACCCAAUCAAGAACUAGGCAUGUUUGUUACAACUCCAAGAAAGAUUGACCAAGCUGCAGUGUUCCCUGGCAUGGGCCAAGCUCAAAGCUCCUCAAAAGACUUGAAGUCAAAGGCUCCAGGAAGCUCUAGCCUAUCUAGUGUCCAAUCAAAAUGCAAGGAGACUAUGCAGGUCCUGAUGAGAACAAAGGAGCUGAGUCCCCUCGAUUUAGCCUGGGAAAU
rnacentral:lncRNA from 1 species